GGGGAAUUAGCUCAGCUGGCUAGAGUACUACAAUGGCAUUGUAGGGGUCAUCGGUUCGACUCCGAUAUUCUCCA
rnacentral:tRNA from 1 species